UCUGGCCGCUAUAGCGAGGGGCCUGCACGCGAUCCCAUCCCGAACUCGACCGUGAAAUCCCUCUGCGCCGAUGGUACUUGGUCUUAAGGCCUGGAAGAGUAGGUCGCCGCCAGAC
rnacentral:rRNA from 1 species